UUUAUAAUGUGUUUUAAUUUGUGAUUGUAUUGAUUCUGAAAAUUCAGGCCGCGAGGAGGUGACUCAGCAAGUUUCUGAUCGUGAAGUCGAGUUUUCAGCACAACCCGAAAUGUCGACGAAUAAUGAAGCUAUUCCUUUGAAUGCCAUCAAGGAAAAAAUACGAAAUAAAUAUGUGGUUGUCAGAAUUUUGCGCUUAUGGGUUCAAAAAGAUAAAUUGGGCAAGGAAGCACUUGAAAUGAUCGUGAUUGAUGAAUGGGGCAACAAAAUUCAAGCAUCCGUCUCUAUAGGGAACAAGAAAAAGUUUCAUGAGUUACUUAAAGAGGG